AUUGAACGCUGGCGGCAUGCCUUACACAUGCAAGUCGAACGGCAGCACGGGUGCUUGCACCUGGUGGCGAGUGGCGAACGGGUGAGUAAUACAUCGGAACAUGUCCUGUAGUGGGGGAUAGCCCGGCGAAAGCCGGAUUAAUACCGCAUACGAUCUACGGAUGAAAGCGGGGGACCUUCGGGCCUCGCGCUAUAGGGUUGGCCGAUGGCUGAUUAGCUAGUUGGUGGGGUAAAGGCCUACCAAGGCGACGAUCAGUAGCUGGUCUGAGAGGACGACCAGCAACACGGGAACUAGGAACCGGCCAGACUCCUACGGGAGGCAGCAGUGGGGAAUUUUGGACAAUGGGCGAAAGCCUGAUCCAGCAAUGCCGCGUGUGUGAAGAAGGCCUUCGGGUUGUAAAGCACUUUUGUCCGGAAAGAAAUCCUUGGCUCUAAUACAGUCGGGGGAUGACGGUACCGGAAGAAUAAGCACCGGCUAACUACGUG
rnacentral:rRNA from 1 species